AUGAUCUGAGCCGAAGUCAAGAGCUGGACACCCAACCAACUGAGCCACCCAGGUGCCCAAACUCUUGGUGUCUCAUACUCUUGUGUGGUAAGGCCACUGUGCAUUUAUAUUUCUAAGCCUGGUUUUAUGUCUUAUUUCUUAUAGUCUACCGUGAGAACACUUUCUAAAGGAAUCCCACCCUGGGCUGCAGCCUUAAGCUAUUCAGGGGAGACCCUGAAUGCAGAACACAGACUUGACUGGCUCCAGCCAAUGAAGAAAAUCACUGGAAGUAAAGGCUCAGCAUGGGGCUUCUCAAAAGAGAAAUGUAAACUGCAAGAUGAAAAAUCAAACAGUAUCCCUCUAAUCUCUGAUUAGAGGGAACCAUGUUAGAGGGAUUUCGUUCAGAAGCAGAAACACUCAAAAGUAUCAUCUUCCUCUUUCUUCUCCAGCUACCAAGAAGACAGGAAGAAUUCAGGUCUUCUGGGACUGGCAUCAGAAAAGCAAAUUAAGGACUUCCUUGUGAUCAGCAGGAAGCAGGCAAGCUAGUUAGGAACCUGACUGAAGAAACAAAGCUGUCCAUUGACUGCGGGGAAGAGCCUGAGGGUCUGGAGUCUAGAGAGAGCCCCUACAGAGUUGACUCAGAUUUCAUUUUUAAGUAAUCUCGAUGUGGGGCUCAAACUCACAACCCCGAGAUCAAGAGUUGCAUGCUCCAACUGACUGAGCCAGCCAGCGCCCGACCCUCCAGACUUUGAAGACAAGGAGACUAACUCCACAUGAGUUCAGUGACUUCAUUCCCACCAAGGGAGGCCCAUGUCCCAAUUCUUCACCCUUGCACCUCCUGAACACUUGGCACUUUAAUAUCUUUACAGGCAUUAGUGCUUAGGUAAGUGUCUUUCAGGUUUCAGCAGUUUUCUAACAGUUAAUGUAUAUACCCUUGGGCAUGUUGACUUUUUCAAGCUACUAGUAGAGUCCAAACUCUUCAUAUUCAAAGUGAGUUGAGCAGGUCUACUUUCAAACUGCCCUAAAGCUUGGUGGGGCGCUUUGCCUCAAGAGUACCUCAUAUGCCCAGUGACUCAGCUAACAGACCCCAGGAACCACUCACCAUUUCUGCCGUCCAUUGGCACUUGGCUCAGCACAGUUAGGCCGAUGAGGACGUA